GUGCCAGCCGCCGCGGUAAUACCGGCAGCCCGAGUGAUGGCCGAUCUUAUUGGGCCUAAAGCGUCCGUAGCUGGCCAGACAAGUCCGUUGGGAAAUCCCCGCGCUCAACGCGUGGGCGUCCAGCGGAAACUGCCUGGCUUGGGGCCGGAGGACUCGAGGGGUACGUCCGGGGUAGGAGUGAAAUCCCAUAAUCCCGCACGGACCACCGAUGGCGAAAGCACUUCGAGAAAACGGAUCCGACAGUGAGGGACGAAAGCCAGGGUGUCCAACCGGAUUAGAUACCCCAGUAGUCC
rnacentral:rRNA from 1 species